GAUGAAGAACGUAGCGAAAUGCGAUAACUAGUGUGAAUUGCAGAAUUCCGUGAAUCAUCGAGUCUUUGAACGCACAUUGCGCCCCCUGGUAUUCCGGGGGGCAUGCCUGUCCGAGCGUGAUUGCUGCCCAUCAAGCACGGCUUGUGUGUUGGGUCGUCGUCCCCCCCUCCGGGGGGGACGGGCCCUAAAGGCAGCGGCGGCACCGCGUCCGAUCCUCGAGCGUAUGGGGCUUUGUCACCCGCUCUGUAGGCCCGGCCGGCGCUUGCCGAACGCAAAACAACCAUUCUUUCCAGGUUGACCUCGGAUCAGGUAGGGAUACCCGCUGAACUUAAGCAUAUCAAUAAGCGGAGGA
rnacentral:misc_RNA from 1 species